AUUGAACGCUGGCGGCAUGCUUUACACAUGCAAGUCGAACGGUAACAGGGUGCUUGCACCGCUGACGAGUGGCGAACGGGUGAGUAAUGCGUCGGAACGUGCCGAGUAGUGGGGGAUAACGCAGCGAAAGUUGUGCUAAUACCGCAUACGUACUGAGGUAGAAAGUGGGGGACCUUCGGGCCUCACGCUAUUCGAGCGGCCGACGUCUGAUUAGCUAGUAGGUGGGGUAAAGGCUCACCUAGGCGACGAUCAGUAGCGGGUCUGAGAGGAUGAUCCGCCACACUGGGACUGAGACACGGCCCAGACUCCUACGGGAGGCAGCAGUGGGGAAUUUUGGACAAUGGGCGAAAGCCUAAUCCAGCCAUGCCGCGUGUCUGAAGAAGGCCUUCGGGUUGUAAAGCACUUUAAGUUGGGAGGAAGGGCAGUAAGUUAAUACCUUGCUGUUUUGACGUUACCAACAGAAUAAGCACCGGCUAACUUCGUGCCAGCAGCCGCAGUAAGAC
rnacentral:rRNA from 1 species